GAUGAAGAACGUAGCGAAAUGCGAUAAGUAAUGUGAAUUGCAGAAUUCAGUGAAUCAUCGAAUCUUUGAACGCACAUUGCGCCCGUCAGUAUUCUGGCGGGCAUGCCUGUUCGAGCGUCAUUACGCCCCUCAAGUCCCCUGUGGACUUGGUGUUGGGGAUCGGCGAGGCUGGUUUUCCAGCACAGCCGUCCCUUAAAUUAAUUGGCGGUCUCGCCGUGGCCCUCCUCUGCGCAGUAGUAAAACACUCGCAACAGGAGCCCGGCGCGGUCCACUGCCGUAAAACCCCCCAACUUUUUAUAGUUGACCUCGAAUCAGGUAGGACUACCUGCUGAACUUAAGCAUAUCAAUAAGCGGAGGA
rnacentral:misc_RNA from 1 species